AUGGAGUGCAACAGAGAAGAGGCGUUGAGGGCCAGAGAAAUAGCUGCAAAAAUGCUGGAAAGCAAAGACUUUCUUGGGGCUAGAAGGAUUGCACUUAAAGCUCAAAGGCUUUUUCCAGGGUUUGAGAACAUACACCAGCUGUUAACUGUCUGUGAAGUGCAAUGUGCAGCAGUUGCAAAAAUUAAUGAAGACUUAGAUUGGUAUGGUAUUCUCCAGGUGGAGGCAACAGCAGAUGAGACAGUCAUAACAAAGCAAUAUGAGAAACUUGCCUUUUGGCUCCAUCCUGAUAAAAACACACUCUCUGGUGCUGAAGUUGCUCUGAAGUUGGUCUCAGAAGCUCGCAAGAUACUGUGUGAUCGCACGGAGCGGUCUUUGUAUGACGUCAGAAGGCAGUAUGCUUCCAAACAUGUGACAAGCAAAGCUACACAGCUACCAAAUAAGACUGGUGGAAAUGAAAGUCAUGUGGAUGGAUGCAAACAACCACCUGCUUUUGUACUGGUGUUCUGGACUAUAUGCCCGCAUUGUCGGAGGCGAUUCGUGUACUACAAAAAGAACUUUUUGGUCACCUGUGACCACUGUGGUAAAUUGUUCUUUGCAUUCAAGCUGCAUGAACAGACAAUGCCCUCGAGUUUCCUAUCUCAUUCAGCAAAUAAUGCUGAAGUUUCACCUGGGAAGAUUUCAUGUCAACAACAUGGCGUCACCAAUCAACAGGCCCAGACAGGGGGGAACAUUUACUCUGAACCUACCAUGAAUGCUACUCAAAUUGAUGAACAUAGAGAAAGGAUUGACAGGGCAAGCGGUGAUGAGGAAGGUAACUGUUCAGAGACAAGAAGCGAUGUAGUUCAGCUUUCAGCAAUGAACCAAGCUAAAUCUUCUGCGCCUGCUGCAGGCAAGGAAUCAGUUAGCAAUUUGACAUCAGCUCAUCCUGAUCCGAACUUCAUUUCCGCACAGAACUUUAGAAGUGAAGAUGCAUCUCUAGUGCCAAAUAUUGCAAGGUCCUCCAGCCUUCAGAAAUUAGGUAAGAGAAAGCAAGAUGAUGGCCCAGACUGCAGCCACGGCACAGACUCCUCUAAUUAUAAGAUGCAAAGGAACCAUGACUCACCAUCUAGUGCUUCUGAGCAAAUGUUUAAUGACAAUGCUGCUGUUGCUGAGAAUCAGUCUGCUGAGCAUCAUGCCUUAAGUAGAGUGGAUAGCCAAGGUGGAGUAACUGCAAGUCGUGAAGCCAAUCAGCAAAGUUACAAGGAAGCAAGUGGUAGUGCUCCUCAGAAGCUUGGCAGUCCUGUGAUUACCUAUCAUCAUCCUGACUUUUUUGACUUUGGCAAGAUCAGAGAUAUAAACCUGAUUGCAGUUGAUCAAAUCUGGGCCCUUUAUGAUAACCUUGAUGGCAUGCCAAGAGAUUAUGCUCAGGUAAAGCACAUUGAUACUUCUGAAUUAAGAGUUCAGCUGACAUGGCUGGAGUACAAUCCAAGGAAUGAGCAAGAAGCCAAUUGGAAUAAUAAGGAAUUGCCUGUAUCUUGCGGAAGCUUCUGCUUAGGAGGAGAAACAACAACCCUAUUACAAGAUCCAUCCACAUACCUGUCUCACAGAGUUCCAUUGACAAGAGGCAAAAAUGGGAACUCCUACCAAAUAAAUCCUAAUAAGGGUGAGGUAUGGGCUCUUUAUAAAAGAUGGAGCAUGCAAUGGAGCUCCGAUGCAGAUAAAUGUCGAUCCUAUGGAUAUGAUGUCGUGGAAGUUAUCUCUGAUGGCUCAACGAAUGGCGAUGUCAUUGUUUCGCCGCUAAUGAGGAUUGAAGGCUUUGUUAGUCUUUUUGCACACGCUAAGGACAAACGCUACUUUUCGAUACCAUCAAGUGAGCUACUGAGAUUUUCGCACUGUAUCCCCUUUUAUAGAACACAUGGAAAUGAAAGGGUGGGCGUUGCAGAAGGACUUCUGGAACUGGAUACAGCAGCUCUUCCAAGUGACCUGGAAACAGCAUUUCCUUCCAUUACUCUCGACUCCUACAUGUCUUCGGAACUCAUUUCUUAUCCAUAUCCAGAAUCUGAAUUCCACAACUUCGAAGAAGACCGGUCAUGUGAGAAGUUUGAAAGUGGCCAAAUUUGGGCUAUCUACAAUGACACUGAUACAUUCCCGAAUGUGUAUGGUUGGGUGAGCAAAGUUGAGAUACAACCGUUCGAAGUGCAUUUGACCUGGCUCCAGGCCUGCCCUCAACAGGCGCAGGGGAAGCUGUGGUUGGGGCAGAAUGUACCUGUGAGCUGUGGCAAAUUUAAAAUACGAAGCUGGCAAGCCAAGUAUGGUAGAAACCACCCCUUCUCUCAUUUGGUAGAAAAUAGCCAAAUCGAUAUGAACUGGCAGGUUAAAAUUCUUCCAAAAGUCGGUGAAGUUUGGGCCAUCUACAAGAACUGGUCACCUGAUUGGGUUCCUUCCAGCAACAAGCACACUACUGAUUAUGCUAUCGGGGAGAUCGUCGAGUGCAGUAAACGAAGCACAUUAUUUUCUUUUCUGACUAAAGUUGAUGGCUAUGUCGCUGUGUUCAAGCCUGACCUUACCAAGGGAGUACUGAAAAUACCUAGGAAAGAGAACCUGAGGUUUUCUCACCGAAUUCCAUCAUUCCGUCUCACAAAGGAGGAAGGCGGCAAGCUCCGGGACUUCUACGAGCUCGACCCAGCUUCUGUCCCUGGCGAUUUUCUAUAG
rnacentral:rRNA from 1 species